rnacentral:rRNA from 1 species
AUUGAACGCUGGCGGCAGGCUUAACACAUGCAAGUCGAGCGGGGUGAUGGUGCUUGCACUAUCACUUAGCGGCGGACGGGUGAGUAAAGCUUAGGAAUCUGCCUAUUAGUGGGGGACAACAUCUCGGAAGGGAUGCUAAUACCGCCUACGUCCUAAGGGAGAAAGCAGGGGAUCACUUGUGACAUCGCGCUGAUAGAUGAGCCUAAGUCGGAUUAGCUAGUUGGUGGGGUAGAGGCCUACCAAGGCGAGGAUCUGUAGCGGGUCUGAGAGGACGAUCCGCCACACUGGGACUGAGAGACGGCCCAGACUCCUACGGGAGGCAGCAGUGGGGAAUAUUUGACAAUGGGUGGAACCCUGAUCAAGCCAUGCCGCGUGUGUGAAUAAGGCCUUAUGGUUGUAAAGCACUUUAAGCGAGGAGGAGGCUCUUUUGGUUAAUACCCAAGAUGAAUGGACGUUACUCGCAGAAUAAGCACCGGCUAACUCUGUGCCAGCCGCCGCAGUAA